rnacentral:rRNA from 1 species
CCCUUAGAUGUUCUGGGCCGCACGCGCGCUACACUGAUACGUUCAACGAGUUUAUAACCUUGAUUGAUAGGUCUGGGUAAUCUUUUGAAUGCGUAUCGUACUAGGGAUAGAUUAUUGCAAUUAUUCAUCUUCAACGAGGAUUGCCUUGUAAGCGCAUGUCAUCAGCAUGCAUUGAAUACGACCCUGUAUUCUGUACACACCGCCCGUCGCUCCUACCGAUUGAAGUUUUCGGUGAGCUGGCAGGAGGAAUUUUUUGAAACUGGUUCGCUAGUGGAUUUUAGUUCCAAAGGCCAACGAAUCGAUGGCUUUAGAGGAAGGAGAAGUCGUAACA